GAUAUUGAAUUUUCUUUGAACCACUAAAAAAAAAAGGAGAAUAUAGU
rnacentral:tRNA from 1 species